rfam:Schistosoma haematobium scaffold1371_5, whole genome shotgun sequence.
ACCCAGUUGACCAGUUCCAAACUGGACAAAACACGUGUCCUGGAU